AUUAAUAGGAGAAGUCAUGUAUCUCAACACCUUUGGACUCUGCCCAUUAUCCAUUGGAGAAUAAUAAAAGAAACUCUUGUAUCUCAAACCUCUGAAUCUUGCCCAAAAACCACAGGAGAAGAACGAUAUAAUCCAACCAAUGAUAUGCAUGGGAAAUCAUAUGAGAAACCAAUGCUAUUAGAACCUUGAGAAGUGCGAGACAAACUAAUUACAAAAUUCAUAGUAAUCCGCUCUUACUUCCGCUGUGGGAUAGGUAGCUUCUAAAGAAAUCCACGUGAUCUCAAGUUCUAGGACUCCACCUACUGACAACACAAACAUCGAGAUCUGAAUUCCUCUUUGUCCCUUUUCAUUCCACACCACCAGCAAUGCUGUCUCAGAUCUCUACAUCUUAUAUGCACCAGGAUGAAUGGAAUAUCUAGAGCGAGUCUUUUGCAAUAUCAACAAAAUCAAAUCACCAAUCCUCAAAUAUCAAGACACCCUCUGGGUCCAAGGUAAUCUUUCUAUCCUCAUCCCUCGAUAUCCGAUUUCUAAUGCCAGACAUUCUACUUUCCUCAAAAUGCCGCCCUGAAUCUAUUCCAACAAAUAAGAAUUAGCCUCAACAUGGGAAAGAAUCCUCCUAGAAUAAAAAAUAUCAAGUUUAACCAACCUUUUGCUAUAGGUGGAUGUCUAAGGAUACUUGUCGACUAAAAGGAAAACCAAAAUCCCCAUACUCACCACUACUAGAAAUUAAAUUUUUUUCGAUAGCUAAUGCAGUCGAAAAAUAAGACAUUUUUGAUGACAUUCCAACUGUUUUAGGGUAGGCGGAAUAAGAGUUUGUCGAAAAAAUAUUUUCGACUACGGCAAUCGCAAAAUGUAAAUUAUAGAAUGACCAAAUAAAAAAUAAUAUUAUGACUAGUGUAGUCGUAAGAUUAAUAAAAUAAUUAAAAAUAAUUACGUAAUAAUUAUAAAUAUUCAGACUACAGUAGUCGAAAGAUUAAUAAAUAAUUAUAGAUAAAAUAUUUUCCACUACUGUGGUUGGAAACUAAUAAUGUAAUUAUUUAAUAAAUAAAAUCUUCGACUACGGUGGUCUGAAAUUAAUAAAAUAGUUCGUUCAAAUUAUUCCGAUAGGUGUCACUUAACUUUUUCUCAAAAAAGCUUUUACUAUUCUGACCAUUGUAGUCGAUUUUUUUUUUUUGUUUUGCCAGCAAUGGUGCUCUUUUUUUUUUUUUUUUUUAGCUUUCACUGCUCUCAUAUUACAAACAAUAGCAACAUAUCAAAUGUAUUUUUCAUAGUAGGAUCUAAAAAUUAUGAACACAACCUAAAAAAAUUCAACCACUUUGAAACAUCCAAAACAGACAUCAAGUCAAAUAGUUUAAACAUUCUAAAACAAGUUUAGGACCAAAUGUCACAAUCCAAAACAAAUAUCGAGUCGAAUAGUUUAAACAUCCCAAGAGAACUGUAAGUUUAAACGUCACAAUCAAAAACAAGAACCAACAACUACAAUCUAAUUAUCAUCAAAUUCACUAUACCAACAGCUACAAUCUAAUUAUCUUCAAAUUCACUAUCUUCCUCAUCAUCAAAUACUUGAGGCAUGUGCUUCUUGACUAACUCCUUAAAUUUAGCAAAUUUGACAAACUUAGCAUUAUUAACUGCACAUUGUUGCGUCAAAUCUUUAAUUUGCUUUGUCAUCGCUUCUAUUUCUUUCAUAUUUUGUGAAGUAGAAAAGGAGCUAGGAAACAAUGGGGAAGGACUAUUUGAGGAUUGGUGAACUCCAAGCCCAUAGGUUCUACCUUUAUUUGGACCACCAACCACAACUGUUCAUAUUUUAGUCAUAUCUGCAAGUGAUGGUUGGACCACGAUACCAUCCUCUGAAGUAGGUUGAGUUUGACGCCAAUCUUCCUUGCCUUAUUGAAAUCCUUCCAAAAAGAAAAAUAAUUGUCAUUAUGUAAACAAGCUAAAUUGAAUAAUGAGAAAUCAACAUAUGUAAAAUUAUUAUUUUACAAUGUAUUCUUAGCACGCGUUUCGAUCCAAUCUUCUCUUGUACCAUCCUUCUUUUUCUUCUUAUGCGUCUCUUCGAAGAUCUAAGAGGUACAUCUUUUCCCCCAUCUUGUGGAAAAAAAAAUGAUUUCCUGAGGCGGAAAAAAAGAUAUCAAAUUUCUACCAAGAUAACUGGAAGUUCCAACUAAUAAGAAGCCUAAUGAACCUAAAAAAAGGAUAAAGGCGCAGCAGAAAUUACUUAUUUUUCGACACCCCGUUAUAAGUUCUAUAUGUUCUGAUCGCCAAGUCAUACUUAAGUAUUAUUGCAAAAUUUAAGAAAAGAGAUACCACAGUUAUCAAAUCUUUGAAGAGAUUAGAGUCUUUUAACUAUAGCAAAGAAACACCUUGUUGAAGCUACUGGAAUAUGAUGCAGAUUCACAUCUCAAGGCAGAGGUGCAAAUUCACUUUAGAAAUAAAACAAAUAAGAGCCACAUAAUAUGUCAAACAAUAUUACCAAUCUUCAUCGGUGGAUAACAAAACUCAUCGAACCUCCAGUGUGCAACGAGCCACCCAUUUUAGAGGCUCGAUUUGCCUUUGCCCGUUCACGCUUCCCUUUAUAUUAGGAAUGUCUCAUAUUUCCAAGAACAUUACCCAAACUUUCUUCGCAAUCCAAUCAGGUCUUCUCAUUUUCUUCCGGGCCUCAUACAAGUGUUCUUUGAUCCGUAGAGAUGCUUUCAAUUGGAAAAUGACAUCUAUUUUAUUUUCAUGACAAGACUUCGAUGCACACUUCGCCUGCAAAAUAGUUUAAUAUAAAGUCAUGAAAUGAGUCAAUGGAUACAAAGGAAAAACUACUUAAUCAUCCACAAUAAGCACACCAUAGUACAUGAACUUGAAAAUAUAAGUGAGCAAUAUGUAUAAUUAAGCAUAAACUACGAGUAAUAGAUUAUUAAUAUAAAAGUAUUGAAAUUCAACGAGGAAAUAACUUGAACCUAGAUGAGCAACACCACCAAAGUUAUUUCCAGCAAGGUGUGCCAUAAGUAUUUGAAGAAUUUUUGGACUAAUUAAUCAGAUUUAACCAAAAAAUCCCACAACAAUCAUAAUACACCAAAGUUAUAGUAAAAAAAAUGCAAAUAUCAACUCUAAAUCCCCAAAAAUGUUCAACUGUUCUUCCUCUUCUCCAACAAACUCCCCUAAAACACAAAGUUAUUACCCCCUCUAAAAAAAUUGGGCACAAACACCUGCUAUAUGUAUAUGAAAACCCCUUUACAGUUAACAUGAGACCAUACAAACUGAAAGAUAUAAAAAGCAUAACAUUAACCCCUAAUUAGAUCCCAAAAUUGAUAUUCUAUAGCUCAACACAAAUCCCUUUGGUAUAUUCUGAUUGAUUAUUCUGAUAUUUGUCAGUUGGAUCUAGUAAAUUUUUCCGGGAUUUCUUCAAAUACUUAUGACACACCUUGCUGGAAAUAUAUCCAACUUGUAAUAUAGUCAUAAUUGUAAGGUUAUUUAUAAUUUUGAGUUUCUUUUGUAUAAUGAAACGUACUACCUUUCCUGCACUUCACUGCUGGUUCUUGAUAAACCACAUCAACUUCACAUAAUCGCACAAUAACAAACUGACUUAUAUCAAGACAAACCCAAGUUUCCAAGCAAUCAACAGAAUGAGAAAAUAAACACCAAAUUCCAAGAACCCCAAACAACAAAAUUUCCCAUUUUUUUGGGAUUUGGUAAAAACAAUAAGUCUUAUCAUACCAGAAAAGAUAGGGUUUAGGGUUUAGGGUUUAGGGUUUAGGGUUUAGGGUUUAGGGUGUGCCAAAGUACAAAAGGUUUUUUCACUUCAUAUUUUACAUUGAACUACAUAGCACAAUAAUAAAUAUCACCAACUAGUUUAAAGGAAUUAACACUAGUUUGUAAAUCUGAAUAUCUUCCAUAGGUUUUUUGAAAUAUAAUAUAUCAAUUCUACUUAGAGACUCAGUGUGCUGAUUUUUUGUGUAGCUCAUAUGUACCAGUACUGCUCCAUUUUGAAUCUAAAUAAUUGAACAUAAGCCUAUCCCAUAAUUCUAAAGUGGACGAGUUCUAACCUCACAGAUAUUUCCUUAACACGUAAAGAUUAAUUUCAAGUCUGGAAUAACAAAUUAAGUAAAAUUAUCCAAUUCCAGUCAUCAUUAGCACAAGAACAAUAUUAUAAUAAAUCAAAUCUAGUCAUCAUUAGCACAAGAACAAUAUGGAUACACACAUACUACAUAAAGAAGAAAGAUUUGGCAACUAUGGAGGCGCCUAAACAAGCUUCUUGGAUGAUAAGAAAAAUUCUAGAUAUGAGGAAACAUUUGCCUAUUUUAAAUGCCAACCAACAAAUCUUUAACAAAGGUAAAUUGUCAUACCUUAGCUCGAAGGGCAUCUAACUUGUAGACAUCACAAUAAUCCACAUGUGUUAAAAGUACUUCAAGGCUGAGAAAAAGAUAGUACACAUGAUGUUUGCUCACAAGAGCUGCCUAACUGAGAGUCCAUGUAUUAUAUUGUGUAAUAUGAAUAGGGGUAAUAGUCCAAUUCAACAUGAUUCAGAAAAAUCUUAAGAUAAAAAAUCAAAAUUGUACAAAUACGUGGGAAGAAAAUGUUACAUGCACUCCUAGACAACUAGUUACUGAUAUUAUUGGGAAGGAGAAACCGCUAAAACUCUUAAGAAAGCUCUUGGUCAGACCAACAAGAAUAAAAGAGAUACUGGAAAAAUAAGGCAAGAAAAAGAGAAAAAGAAGUCUACUGGUUUUGUUCUAUUGACUAAAUAAGAUAGUUUAAAUAUUCCUCCCUCCCCCACCCAGCUUGGAUCAGCCAGCAAAUGUCUAAUGUAAUCUCAACAUAAUUCAUACUAGUUCCAGCACAGUUUAUGUAGACUUGAAUGAUGAAUACAGAGUUGUCAACUCCGAAGAUGAAUUUGAGAAAUACAAACAACUUAUAAUGGAAGGGGAGGUAGAAGAAGAGCUCAAUGAAUACUUGAUCAAAGCAUUUGGUUCCACAUAUAAUAGUGAAUUACAAGAGAAGGUGAAACAAGUGUAUAAUCAACAAGGGUUAUCACUCAAAGACGAAUCAUGAAAGGAUCACAAAUCAAUAAAAGGCUAAUGAUUAGUACUUUCAUUUGGAAUGCCAGGAGUAUCAACACCAAAGGAGCCUUGGAAAGAAUCUAAAACCUUGUCAAACAAAAAACUAAAGUUCACAAAGGAAGAGAAGAAUAUUAAUGAAGAGGUCUUAAAUUGCAUUACAAGAAUAGUUGCAAAGGAUUAGAAUAUACCGUAAACUGAUUCCACAUUAGAAUUUUUAUUUUGUAUGGAAUCUUAUUCCAACUACCCCACAUCUCUUUAAAAAUGGUUUAGUUAAUUCUGUAACCAUAUGCCCGAAGCUAUAUGUGGGAAUGAACUUGCAAUAAAACUAUAUUAAACCAUCUUAGCUUUCAAAUUUUAAAAAUGAAGGAAAAACAUAAGGGUUGCUUACCCAUCACCACCAGUGACAAUAAUUAGCCUCCCAAAAUUGUCAUAUUCUAAUACCUCUUUAAAUUUCAGAUUCUGGGAGGCAGCUGCUGUAGCAUUAGACGCUGUAGCACUAUUAAUAAAGGGAGAUGAUGUGCUAGGACCUUUAAUUCUCAAUACAGAAAGGCUAAGUGUGGAUGAUGUAGAAGGCACAAAUAAAGAGCUACUAUGCAGACUAUUAUGAGGAGAAGUGAUGUGGAACUGGUCAGAUGGUAGCGGCAUAAAAAUGCAUUUGGUAGUGAAAUAGUUGACUAGGAGGAGGAGGAAAAUUUGCAGUAUCUGGUGGAGAAGUUGUGGUAAUAGGUGGUGGUGGUGGUGUAUAUUGACCUGCAGGAGGAUUAUCAGGUCCUUUCUUACUUUUCUUACGUUGUCCAUUACCAUUACCCUUUUGCGCCAUUAAUUUUUUUUACUAACCACCUGAAGAAGAAAGAACAACCAAAUUAGAAAACAACCUAUUUUUCAUAAAAGUAAAUUUCAACAUACAAAUCAGUUAUGUAAUGAAUGAUAGAAAAUAAUUACUUUGUGCUUGUAAGGGACAACAACUAAGAUUUCUCAACCAUUAUCAAUUAAAACAUUUAUGUUUUUCCAUCAUUUCAGAAAUCUUAAAAUAAUGGAUGAAUUAAUAUAGUUAAGUAGUACCGAUUAAACAAAACAGACAACACAUAUAUACUACAAAAAUUCACCACUGCUAUUUAAUCAAACAACUAUCAAUGUUCUUACCGCCACUACAAAUGUUAACAGAAAAAAGACACUAUAUUGUCAAGUAAAAUAGCAGAAAGUACAAACUAAAAUACAAUUUAAGACCCUGUUGCUACACAUUACUACUAUUAAUAGCAUUUCAAUCCUCAUUGCUUGAUUCAUAGUCAUUCAUUAAUUCUUCGUCAUCGCUUGAUUCAUAGUCAUUCAUCAAUUCUUCCUCAUCACUUGUUUCAUUUUCAUCAAGUAACUAUUCCUCACUUGUAUCAUUUUUAUCGAGUGACUCUUCCUCGCUUAUUUUAUUUUCAUUAGUUGGAUCUUGUCUUUUGCCCCGAAUGUUCCUUCUCCAUAAUCAUUAACAUUCAAUCUAAGUUCAGAAGGAUCAAAUUUUUCAUAUAGGCCUUUACUAUGCUGCAACUCACUUGCUAAUUCAUCAUCCACCCUUUCUUCAACACUUGAAAUGUCAUUCUGAUACGCUACAUCCAAUGUAUCCUCUACAUCAACUCUACCCACCAGCUUUGUUUUUAUAACUACCCACCUUGCAGAUUUUUUCUUACACAAAGGAUAAGGAGCAUAAUACACUUGUUUCACAUUUUAUGUAAUGACAAAUAAAUCAUAGAGUUCAUACUCCCUUGUAUGCUUAAUUUCAAUAAUUUUGUAUUGAAGGUGCACCUUUGUACCUAACCUAGCAUAGAAUCGUACCACUUAUACCAACAGAGUACCAACUUCUUUUUUGGCCAACCAACAUGAUAAUCGAGUUCUAAAAUCUCAAGAAGCAUACAGUAAUAAUCAUCACCACCAUCACCUUUAACCCACACCUUACUAUUGUUUGUUUUCUUUCCCUUAAAGAACUCUUCCGUAUGAAAUUUGUACCCAUUGACAGAGUACCUAGAAAAAUUUAUGACUUUAUCAUUAGGUCCCUAAGCUAUAUGAUGUAAGAAUUGGUCAUUUGGGUCAUAAUUAACUGAAUUAUGAACCUAUAAAAAGUUCAAACAAAGUUAGAACUUAAAUAUACAUAAAACUGAAUAAAAGUGUAAAUUGUGUUAAAUAUUAAAGUUACACUUACAUUUUCACUAAACCACACUGAAAACAUAGGAUAAACAGCAGCAUGCCCAUGCAAAGCCACAAAGUAGUUGUUCGACAAAGUUAUGACUUUCAUUAGUUAAAACUUAGAUAGACCUUGAAUGAUUGCUGCUAAUAUAAAGAUACUCACUUAUAAAAAGGUAGGACCUCAGGGAAAUUUAAUAAUACAUGUGUUGUAGCUGACUUAAACUCCACCUCAUUCAAAUAUUAAGCUGGACCAAGUUUCGGACUUCCUUUACCUGGUUGAUUGAAUAUUAAAAAUGGUGGUGCUGAAAGAUCUGUAUUGUGUCCAUCAUCAUGCCUAUUACGUCUGUUUCUUAGACAUGACACAUCAUGUUCGAAAUAAUAUGAACAAAAAUUAGAGGUAUCUUUAGCCAAAUAAACCUUACAUAUUGACCCCUCAAUACAUUUGCCAAUGGUCCUGUAUAGUAUGAUCUUUUAGAUGAACUUAUAUACAUCCAUCUACACUGAAAAAGCCCUCCAAGUCGUGCCUCUCGCACAAGGUGAAUUGGAUAAUGCUUUAUAACAUCAAGAAAACCAAGAGGAAAAUUUUUUGCCAACUUGUUUAAGGUUAAGUGAAUAUUGAUAUCAAUCAAAGAUAGGUUAUCCUCCCUUAAUGUGUUAGAACACAAAUCUUUGAAAAAUAAGCUUAUCUCUGUUAUGGGUUCUAUAUUUUAUUGGGCUAUGCACUAAAUGCAAUAGGCAUUACUGACUCCAUGAAAAUGUGACAGUGAUGGAUCUUCAUAGACGUCAACUAACCUUUUUUCAUGUCAACACACCUGGAUAAAUUUGACGCAUAUCUAUCUGGCAUUCUCAAAUUCUUAACCUAAUCACAAAUCGCUCUUCUAUCAUCUAAAAUGAAUGUGUAACUAGCCUUGAGAUUCUAAACCUUAUUGUUUAACUAUGUCGGGCACAACUCGCCAAUAAUACUCCUUUAAGUCCAUCCUGGCCUUCAAGUUAUCUUUUGUUUUGUUACUUACAUCCAUCACAGUAUUAAAUAAGUUGUCAAAAAAGUCUUUUUCAAUAUGUAUGACAUCCAGAUUUUGAGGCAGAAGAUUAUGCUUUCAGUAAUCUAACUCCCAAAAUAUGCUUCAUUUGGUCCAAUUAUGUGUAACACUAUCCUGGAUGGUGGAGACUCUGUUACCUCUAGCAGAUUCCUCACUCUAUCCCAAAUUUUUUCUCGCGACAAGAUUGGUGGUGGCUUCUCAAAAUCAGACUUAUUCUUUAUAAAAUCACUAGUAUUUCUCCUAAACUCAUGUUGCAUCGGCAAGAAUUGACGGUGACAGUCAAACCACGAGUUUUGACCCUCAUUUUUCAAAGUGAAUGCUUUUGUGUCUUCCAUACUACAAGGACAAGCUAACUUUCCCACAGUCGACCACCUAGACAAUAUUUCAUAAGCAGAAAAGUCAUUUAUAGUCCACAUCAAAGCAUCACAUAAUCUAAAGUUUUGUUUGAUUGGUACAUCAUAUGCUUCCACACCUUCGUGCCAUAAUAAGUUCAACUCAUUAAUUAGUGGUUGCAUAUAUACAUCAAUUAAACAUUUUGAUUACAAGGACCUAGAAUAAUGUAAGUUAGAAAUAUACAUGGAUUUGUCAUACAUAACUCAGGUGGGAGAUUAUGAACAGUCAUAAAUACUGGCCAACAUGAAUAUCGUGUCACUAAGACAGAAAAUGGAGUGAAUCCAUCAAUAGAUAACCCCAACCUAAUGUUUCUUGGCUCACUAGAAAAAUCUAGAUACACACUAUCAAAAUGCUUCUAUUCUUCUCCAUCUGAUGGAUGACAUAAAACACCAGGUGGUCUUUUAUGUUCAUAGUGCCAUCUUAUAUGAGGGGCAGAGCUCAUUGACGUAUACAACCUCUUUAACCAUGGUAUAAGGGCUAAGUAGUGCAUCGACUUUAUUGGAAUCUUCUUCCCUUUGUCAUUAUUCACUUCCUUAUAAUGAGGUUGGUUAAAAAAUUUACAAUGUUCUAAAUCUGCAUCUUCCUUAUAGAAUAACAUGCAACCUUUCCCGCAAUAGUGAAUCCUCGCUGAUAAAAGUCCUAACUUAGAAAACAACUUCUUUGUUGUGUAGAAAUCUUUGGGUAAGUCAAAUUUAUUUGUAUUAAGCUCAUUCAUAAGUUCAAUGCUAGAAUACAUGCCCUCUUGAGAAAUAGAAUAAUCUGACUUAAUUCUUAGUAACCUAACUGCAACAGAUAACUUGGAAUGCAUUGACCCUUCAUACAGUGGAUGACUAGCCUCCUUUCACUUUUCAUAAAAGUGGUUAGCCUUAUAAUUUGGUUCAUUUUGAGACCAUGAGUUUUUCCCAAACACAUCCCUAACCAUCUCACUAUAUUGAGAACUUUUGACAUUAUUCUUUCUUAUGGGGCUUCUCUCACCACCAAAUGAAUUCUAAAAAGCAAAAUUAUUAGCAGCAAUACUCUCUCCAUGGGCGAUCCACACAGUAUACUUCAACAUAAAUUCAUUCUUUUAAAGAUGUAACUUAACAAAAUUUGGACUCAAUAACUUGGAACACUUUUAUUUCAGACAAGGACACCUAAUUGUCCGUUCAAUAAGAAAAUCAUCAAGGGUCAUUGCUUUAGAAAUAAAUCCAGCUACCCCAUCUUUAUAUUCCUCCCUCGACCCUGUACGGUUAAGAUAUGUUCUAUUGUACAUCCAUGUGCGAUCUGCAUUUUCCAUCUACACAAGAAUGACAACAAUAACAGUAAAAAAGAGAAACAAAAGCAGGAGAACCAAAACAAUGAAAAUAGGAUUAAAAACACCAACAAUAGUUAUAGUAAUAGUGAACACGGGACAAUGAACAGAUCAUGUCAACAUUUGCUACUUGUUGGUUUAAGAAAAUACAUGUCCAGAAUUUUUAUAGUAGUUGAAAACAGAUCUUUAAGAGUGCUAGUCUUCCAAAAACUAGAGAAAGAGUAGGUGGUUUUCAAAGAAAUAACAUGGUAAGGUUUUUCUAGUUAACAAAAAUUUAUGGACAAUACCUGCGAAAUCAUAAACAAUACCACCAAGUAUAAUCCAAGUACAUUACUACAACUCAACUCAAUAAAUUUUCACUUUCUGAAAUGUAAAUCAUAAUACACUCAUUGAAGAUACAUUUUGCUUUUAAUAGACGUGUCUACCCUCCGGUAUUCAUUUCUGGAAGCAUAAGAAAUGAACAAAGCGGAGGCAAUGCACUCCUAAUAGAAAUAGUACUUGGGCAAGGAAAGCAAAUUCCUAUGUGAGUUACAUUGAAUAAGACAAAGUAAAAAACUACAAAAACAGAGCGCAACUCAGAUAUCUCAGGUGUCCUUCAUCUUCAACCUGAAAGACAAAGAUAAAGCAAAAGAUUUACUAUACUUAAAUUGCACAUGUGACUAAUUUGGUUUGUUACCAGUUUGUUUAAAUCUUUAUACCUGUAAUACCUACUUAUUUGUAUCUCAACUAAUCAUUUGAUAAACCCGUGUAUGAAAAGUGGGGCAGAUGAACUAUUAUAAACUUCAUCAUACAGAUAAAUUUGCACUAAAACUUUGACAACCCAACCAUGCCUUUGGAACUAAUUCCAUUUUCUUACCAAUAUUAAUGCACAUAACAAAUAUUUUAUAAACAUUUGCAUUACAAAAUAAAGCAAAUUUAACAAUCUAUUUAGCAUAACUGUUCACACAAACAAAAAGCCAAUAUAGAACUAAAUGAUAUACACAUAACCAAAUCCAUUUCCUCUCCAUUACUUUUAGUUUCGAAUCACAACAGUGAUUCAAACCAGCUUGAUCACACCCCAACUAAUCAUUUGAUAAACCUACCCACCAAAAAUUGGGGCAGAUGAACUAACAUUAAGCUUAUUAGAUGGAAUUUCUCCUACAUCUCAACCAUACCUUUGGCACUACUUCCUCUACAACAUUAAAAUACAUAGCAAAUCUCAUCGGAACACUAAAGUUAUGAAAUAAAAUAAGUCUAACCAUCUUUUUGACAUUACACUUCACAAAAUCAGAAUACUAGUACAGAACAAAAGAAUAUAAGAGCAUGAAUAAAAUAGAGCAUUUCAAUGUUAACAUUGUGCCAAGAGUGUGCCUCUCUGGCUAUGCUCAAUACGGCAACAACUACCAUUACUACAUCUCAACCUUAAGCAAUUGGUUGGGGUCAACUAUGUAUAUAUGACAUGACCAUGUUGCUUCAUUUAGCAUAGGCAAAGUUAUAUGUAAUCUUGAAUUUGGAUUCGCAAUAGUCGCAAACACCGAGAAAAAAAGAAGGUUUUGCAUGACUGUUAAUCUGCGAAACAGUUAGCAACCUAGAAAAAAACCAAGUGAACUGAAACAUAAAUCAAGUGUAAAAUUAUUGUGAAUAUAAUUAGAAGAGUGAGCUAGUAUCUCAGUAUCUUUGCAUGACAAUUAAUUUAGAAACAGUUAGCAACCUAGAAAAAGCCAAGUGAACUGAAACAUAAUUCAAGUGUAAAGUUGUUGUGAAUCUAAUUAGAAGAGUGAGCUAGUAUCUCCGUAUCUUUGAGUAAUAGGCAAUACAGAAGCAUCAACACUAUAGUUUAGCUUUAUCUAGCUUGUUUUCACCUUGACCAGAAUAUUAAUUACUUUCUGGAAUUGAUGCUUUCAAAGUAAGAGAGUAGCUAGUUUAGCAAAUUGCCAAAGCAUUUACCGAGCAAGAGUAGAUAUCGUAAAAAUAAACAAAACAAUUCUCUUGAUAUGUAGCUAGUUUUGCUAUCAAGAAUGCUAUUUUUGCACAUUUCCAAUGAGUUAUGUAAGCCCAAUAGAUCUUACAAAAAUCAAUAAUGUAAGGCCUAACUUUCUGUGGAGUUCAGGAAACUUGAGGGGCCUUUUAUUUGCCACCAAGGACUUUGGCGUAUCACAAAAGGGCUCAAACCCCUCACCAAAGCUGUUUUCUUCUCCAAGUUAAACUCACUCACUCUUUAUGGAACUUCAAGCUCAUUGCCAAAACAAUAAUGGUGGUUUCAACUUAAAUUCAUGAUGGGUAUUUAGACUUCUCCAAUUUGACACCUAAUUACUCAAGCAUUAACGAAAACCCAAAUUCACAACAAAGUCCUAAUUUUGAUUUCUCACUCAAUUCUUACUCUAUUAAUCCAGCGGAGGAAUUCAUAGUUUCACAUAAGAAAUUAACACCUAGACUUGCUUAAUUUCAUGGAAUAACUAAUUUUUCUUUUUCUCAUAAUUAAUUCCAAAAUCCAACAUUUGGAAGAUUGACAUUCCAAAUCCACUACGACCAUCCCAUCACACCCUACCCACCUCUCCAUAACCCCCAAAACACAAUGCAACCCCAAUCAAAAACCUAAAUAGACGCCCAAUAACAGAAUUAAUCAAAAAUAAAAUAAAUGUAAGUUUCAACUCACUGUCGCAGUGCCUUCACCACCAACAAAAAGGGCCCAAUACUACCAACUCACUGUUGCCGUCACCACCAAAAAUCCGCCAUCGCCGCACUACCGGAAUGCUAAUACCCUAGUUUAGAGAGAGACAGAGCAGUGAGAGAGAGGGUAGUGAGAUUUAUAGAGAGAGGAAAUUUCUUACAAUAUAAAUGAAAUAUUUAAAUUACAUUUUUUUACAAUUAUUUACUAAUUAAAUAAUAAUAUAUUUAAUUAAUUAUUUAAUAUUUUUGACUACUGAGUUCUGGUAAAUAUAUAAUCAUAUAUUUGAUUAAUUAUUUUUAAAUUUUUCGACUACAUAAGUUGAAUUAUAAUUCUAUUAUUAAUUAAUAUUCUUAAAAUAUUCUGAUUGAAAUGAUGAAAACAUUUGGUAAAAAUAAGAUUAACAAUUUAUAUAUGCAGUGAUCGACUACUGUAGUUGGAAUAUAUUUCCAAGAAAUUAUUGCCAAAUCUUAUGGUUCUUGUUGUCAGAAAUAAUAUCAGACAUUUUAUAAAAAACAAAAAUUAAAAAUUAAAAUUUUUAAUUAAAGUAGUCGAAAAUUUGAGAUUGAUUUUAUUUCGUGAGAAUUUUCAAUAAAAAAAUAUGAAUUUCGAGUAGUGCACCGCCUUUUGGCUCAAGGUAUUCGCUACCACAUUUGCCUUGCCUGAAUGGUAUAAAAUGGAAAUUUCAUAGUCAUUUAGAUUGUGAUUCUUCUAGCUCAAAAUGUACUGAAGGAUAUGAUCAUAUGUAAAUAUCUCACAGUGAACACCAUAAAGGUAGUGCCUCUAAAUCUUAAGCGCGAAAAUUACUGCCACCAACUCUAUGUCAUGGGUGGGUAGUUACGCUCAUGAACUUUUAGUUGUAUAGAAUAAUAUUCUAUCACUCAUCCCUAUUGCAUCAGAACAAAACCUAAAACAACACUUGAAGAAUCACAAUUGACUAAAAAAUCUGGCCUUCAACUAGAAUAGUCAAAAUUGGAGAUAAGUUAGUAAGACCUAGAUCUUCAGAAAGCUCACCUCACACUCACCGAACCAUUGCAAUGAAAUAACCUUCCUAUUUAAUAUGAUCAAUAGCUCUAUAAUAAAAAAUAACCCAUCAAUGAACCAUUUGUUGUUACCUACCAAUGCAAUGAAACCGCAAACCUCAAUAGGAGAAGUGGGUCUAGCCCAAUCAUAAACUACCUUAAUCUUCUCAGGGUCUACUAUAAUUCCUUUUUUUGACAUUACAUUCCCUUAGAAUGCUACAAAAUCAAACCAAAACUCACACUCUAUGAACUUGGUAUAAGGCCCCUGAUUUGUCAUAUUCUAGAGCAUAAUACUCUAUUAUUUCUCAUGCUCUUCCCUACUCCUCGACUAAAUAAGAUGUUGUCAAUGAAUACUAUCACGAGUGACUCGAAAUAGGGCUUAAACAUAUGGUUCAUCAGGUUUAUGAACAUUGUUGGGGAAUUGGUCAACCUAAAAGACAUCACCAGGAACUUGUAAUAGUUGUACAAGUUCGAAAGGUUAUCUUAGGGAUGUCUACCACCCUAAUCUUCAACUGACAGUAGCCAAAUCUUUAGUCAAUCUUUUAACAAAUGAUACACCUUAGAGUUAGUCAAAUAGAUCAUCAAUACAUGGCAUUUGAUACUUAUUUCUUAUAGUUACCUUAUUCAGUUGUCGAUAAUCAAUACACAUAUGCAUAGAACCAUCUUUCUUCUUUACAAAUAGAACAGGAGAACCCUAUGAAUAAUUACUUGGUCUGACGAAACACUUCCCUAGAAGCUCCUGAAGCUGAACAUUAAUCUCUGUCAAUUUAGCAGGGGCUAUAUGAUAAAGUGGAACCAAAAUAUACCUAAUUCCCAAAUCAACAUGAAUAGAAAAGUCAAUAUCACACUCAGGCGAGAGGCUAGGUAAGUUAGUAGAAUAGACAUUAGCAAACUCAAGAACCACAAGAAUAGAAUCAAGGGAAACAGUGUUGGCACUAGUAACUGUACUUAAGUAAGAUAAGACAAACACCCCUUCGAAACCAUCCUCAUUUCCUAAAUGUAAGAAACAAUCCUUGUCGAUACAUGACUAUUAAAACCCACAACAUAGGUACGGGAAUUCCAGACGUAACUAAGGUAAUAGUUUGGCUAAGCAAUCCAAGACUGUGAGAUAAGGGUAUAACAAGUUGAUGCAUAUAAUAGCAUCAAAAUCAACCUAGUACAGUGGCUACACAUAUAGACAAAUAACCUGACCCAACCUGGGGCCUUAUCGUAACGGGUAUCUGGAGUCCAACUUGGAUCGGGGGCUACCCCCGAUACCCAACCCAACCAUCCAAAUGCAUACCCUGAGUCAGAUGAAUUCUGAACAUAUAACAAGAUAGCAUUUAUUAUGAUACUAGACUCUGGGAUAGGUCUAUAACUGUGACCAAUCCAAGUGAGUCCAACCAUCUAUUACCAACUAAUAACCAUAACCAAACUAAUAUAAAAACCAAGUUCCUUUCUAUAACAUAACAUAAAAGUAUGGAAAAAUCAUAAAUUCAGUCCAAGGGUAUCAGCACCAAUAUCAAUGCUAAUACUAAGACUGACACCAAUACCGACACCACCUAUUCCAACCCAUAGUAGUUACACAAGCCUCUAACCAAAAGAAAAACAAUAUUCAAUUGGGAAAUGACCCCAACCAUAGCCAAAAACAAUAUCCAUAGAACGACCAAAGUAUGUAAAAACAUCUAUGGUAUGAAAUAGAGCCUCCAGAGUAUGAAAGCUCACCACUUCAAUCCAAUAGCUGAUCCUAAAUCCAAUCACUAAGUAAGAGGAGUAGAAUGGCUAGUUCCUACAUUGCGUAGGGAUACAACUAUCCGAAGAUGGGUUAGCAGGUGAACGUUACCAUGAAAUUAGGAUAAGGAUAAAAUAAUGUCAUCUAGUAAAACCAGGUAAACCAACCAUAUGCAUACAAACUACACACACAAAAAAACAUAUAUAUAUAUAUAUAUAUAACCAUGUUAGGAAAGAGAGCUGGGUCUAGCAUGCCUUUAAAACCAUUAACUUGGGUAUGUGUAGCUUAACCGUCCUAGAAUCACCCACGUGCUAUGUGUCUAGUGUAACCCCCUGAAUGAUCCCCGAUGCAUGUAGCAGUACAAACUGAAAAUACUAUAAGCGUAAGGGAUUCUCGAGUACCCUUCUAUCUCCAUGAUACAUAUGUACAGUGUACUUAGAGGAUUCCCAUGUACCUCAUAGUAUCAUAUAUGGUCACUAUAACCAACCCUUAUGUGGCAAACAUAAGUUUCCCGUAUCCGUCCAUUGGACUCGCACCCUCACGGUUAGCUAUCACACCCCAACAUUGUUGCUGAAUUAAAACCAUUACCAUCUAACCAAACCAUUAUUCCAUUAUUAUUAAUUAAGGCUAUAAGUAGUGGUAUCAUCAUACUGCCUAUAGCUUGCAAGCAAUGUCCUUAGCCAACCUUUUAUGUAAAGGGAUUCCCAUGUACCCGUAGAUUACAUUAUUAAGUUAACUUGGGGGAAUCCCAUGUACCCCAUAAGUGUCGUAUUAUUAAGUUUUCUUGGGGGAAUACCAUGUACCCCAUAGGUUGUCUAUCAAUAUAUUUACUCGGGGGAUUCCCUUGUACCCCAUAAGAAAGUUUAAUUAACCAUAACCAUGACCACUAAACCUUACCAUUUUAACCAUUCCAAACCAUUUAAACCAUUUAUACCAAUUAGGGUUCCAUUACCAAACCAUACUAUUUAAUAGUUCCAUUAAAAAUCUAAUAGUCUAGUAAAAGCAUUCUCAUAGAUAUUUUAUCAAACACAUUGGGGGAAUAGUGUUUCCAAAAUCAAAACCAAAACCAAGUUCCAAUUAACCAUUCCCAUGCUAUCAAAUGUUCAAACCACCAUUAAAACAUAUAAAUCCAUAAUUAAAACAUGGAAAAACCAUAACCAAGCAUUUAUAACCAAAACCCCAUCAUAUAGUUAAAAACCCAAAACCAUACAUAAAAUUCUGCCAUGAAAACAUUGUAUAAAAUAUGCAUUUAUUUGGAACUAACAAUGAGGAAGGAGUAAUAUUCCUUAGAUUAUGAAGACAAUGGAGAGAAAUUACUUGUACAAGUCCCAAAUUGAUCCUCUAGAUGAAACCCUAGCCUUUCUUUACCCAAGAGUCAUAGAGAGAAUUAAAGAGUGUUUCUAAGUGUUUAAGUUUAGAAUAAUAGGGCAAAUAAUAUCCCAAAAGAGUUAUAAGUCAUGGGGCCUUAAGAGGUUAAGUAGGGAAAUAUCCAAAUUACACCUACUUAAACUGCUUUAAAUUCUCAUCAGAUGGUACGACUACCCAUACCUGUCAUACCAUCUAAUACAAGUUGUCUCCACCACUCGUACCCUAGGCCUCCCCCUUGGACCCAGCACUAUCCACUAUAUGACUUACCUAGCACAAGUCAUACAUAACCAUAUAAUCAGUACCCCUAAACCAUAUCCCUGGCAAAAUAGAAUCAAAGGAGGUUUGAUCACUGUCUUCCAUAUGAGUCAGUAGUAUGAAUUAUACCCUAUCUCAUUGCUCAUGGUGAGCCACUCAUACUCAGACCCAACUUAAGUUACUAAGUCUUAGAUUAAGUAAAGGAAAAACCCAUCACUAACCAUACGACUUGUACCUACCAAGUCGUACCCAUUCCAGAAACUAAUCCCACCUACUAACCAACACUAGUUAGUAUACGACUAAGAUUAUACCAACUGUACCCUACCAUAUGGCUGGUACCCAUAAGUCGUAUAAUGUCUAGAAACUAAAAAUCCAGGAAAUUUUCUAAGGGUCUAAACCUAGGGUGUUUUAUCCAAAGCAAAGGUUCUCUAAUAAUCCCGAACUAAGAAGAAAAAUAUAUCAUCACAUAAUAAUAAAUGGAACUUAAGUCAAAUAAAAUAAAAGCUAACAGUCAACACAUUGAAAUCAUACUUGUGAUUACUAAGUUAGAUGGCUUUGCUUUGGCCUACAAGAAAAUGCAUAUAACUAUCCGCGCCCACUACCAAACUAAGAACCUAACCAACCACCUAUAUUUCCUGACAGACCACCUCCACAAGGACCCUGAGAACCAUCCUUAAUGCUUUAGAAACCACCUUUAGCCUAUGAUAUUCUUGAUUUUAGAGGCUAAGUUUUUGUUUUGAAUGCUCGAUUAUCUCAUAUUAGGGACACUCUUUAGAAAAAUUACUAUCAACUCCACAAUAUAGAAAGACCAAGGUAUACUACUGUAAUGAGAUGAACUGGUUGAUCCAAACUGACCACCAUGACCUAAAGACCCAAAAUAAGAAUCUAAUAAUGAAUGAUUGGAUCUCUGACCACGAAAAUCACUAUAAUAUGGCUGACCAUUAUCAGUAAUCUAAGUUAUUUUUGAACCAACUAGAUAUAACCAUGUUGCUAAUAUUACUGGCUAUUACCAGGGAAACCCCUACCACAGAACUGCGAUCCAGUGUGACUACCACUGAAACAACUCUAAUGAUGGGGUAUUUUGUCAUUGCCCCUAUGGGCCUAUAGAUACAAAUCCAUAAUAGUGCAGGUAUGAUUAAUAAUCUAAGAAUGAUAGACCUAAUGAUACCAUGCUCUUAGUAGAUAGAUGAAGUUGCAGUCUUAAUCUCCUAAAGAAGCAACACACUCUCUCAUGUUUAGUAGGUAGAAUACUAGUAUCAUGCUUUGCUAACUUAUUAACCUAGACUUAUACUUGAAAACAAUCAUGGAACCCUACUCCAACCUCAAAAACUCAUUCCUUAGUUUCUCAUAUACACUAUGGGGUAUAUACUUCCCUAAAUAGCCUCACAAAACUUAUAAAGACUUGAUUUUUGUGAAUUAUUCACUUUUAUGUGAUUUGACUAUUUUAUCCCUUAUCGUGGUUGCUUUGUGGUAUUUCUAGGGUGUGGGUAUAAUCUACCUAGUUCCCAAUACUUUUCAAUGUGAUUUGUGUGAGUUUUAGUUUUUCAAGGUUUGACUUUGGUCAACGUUUAUUAUUUUAUGCAUUAGAUGGUAAAACAGACUAUGCUAGUAGAUCCAGAAUAUCGAUUUACAUUGGUAACAUAGUUGGUGUGAUUUUAUAUCUCAUUUUUAUCCUCAUAUUGAGAGGUUGUGAAAUUAGGUCUCGAGGGUCAAUUUUUUUAAUAUGAUAUUUUUUUCAAAAAUAUGAUAUUUCAUUAUGUCUGGAGCAUCAAAUUUGAUAGGGUAGCAUAGUUCAUUUACGUUCUUGGGAUUUUGGAUGAAUCUUGAGGGGUUGAUGGAGACUUGGAAUUCUCAAGUCUCCAAGAUGCUCCAAUUAGUUAGUGCAUCUCCUUAAGCGACACUUGGCUCUCUUACGCGAAGUCCGCUUAAGUGGCCAGUCUGUCGCUUAAAAGACCUAGCUUCACAACUAAUUUUUGCCUAAGCAAGACCCCCCCUGCUUAAGCGAUGCGUACAGAUUUGGCGGAUACCACCUAAGAGGUACUUGGCUGCUUAAUCGGUGACUGCUUAAGCUGUCCAAUAUCCGCUUAAGCAAUACCUGGGUAAUAUAAUAUCCCUUUCAUGAUUUUUUCCCACCAUUUUGAGACUUGGAGAUUGUGUUUUAGAGUUUUUGGGUAAUUUCUUAUAUUUUCAAGCUUGGGUAAGCUCCUAAUCCCUAUUUUUAUUAUUUUUAUUCGAUUCUUGUCAUCUAAUGCUUGUUAAAACUCGAUUUCAAAUGUGAAAUUUGGAAAUUUUGGCCCGAAAAGCCUAAAUUAGUAUUUCUUCAAUUUAAACCCCAAUUUCAAUUCGUUUUUACUUGGGUUUUCUUCUAUGGGUUCCUUUAAUAACGGAUAAAACAUUUUUGAAAUAAAAUUCUAGUUUUACCUUUAUUUUUUAAAAUCCAUUUUGGGGUUUUGUUUUGAUGUCAACUAAAAAAUGAGCAAUAUAGGUAUCAUUGGCUUUAUUUUAAUGCAUAGAUCCUAUAUUUCUAUGUUUUAGUUAAUUUCAAGUUCAUUCAUGAGGGGAAGGUUCCAUGUCGAAGACUUUUGGAUUGGGUAUUCUACAUUCGAGGUUGGUUAUGGCUUAACUUUCUUCAUAUUGGGUUAGGUAGUUAAUACUUAUAUAAAAGUAUGUUAUGUGUGUGGGAACUAAUCAUAUAGAUGGCUUUAUUACUAUUUUGUACUCGUGUGGGGGCCUAUGUUGUUAUUUUGUGGUUUUGAGACAUUUUUGUCGCAACCCAAUUUCUCAGGUCAUAAUGGCACAUACUAUAACCCUCCAGUAGGCAAGUCAACCCUAUAGUCUUGAACUACUAGUAACGGACUACCAAGAGAAUAAAGAAAAAAAAAUGCAGAGUAGAUGUAAUAAAAGGCUAACAUACAUAUGUUUUUCCCAAAAUCUGGUGGAAUCAGUACAAGAGCUUCUACAAUUAAUGAGGAUACACAUGAGAUACUAAAUGAAUAUACAAAUACAACCAUCUCUGAAUACAACAUAGAGACUAGUCUAGUACAUAUGAGGGAGAAAAGAAAUACUUCGAAUGUAAGGAGCUCACCUUGCAUCUCCAAACCAUAGCUACUCUGCACGAUCCACACAACAAUGAAGAUAACCCAUACUAUGAUCUACAGGUUGUAGAAGUAUAGUAUCUGCACCAAACACGUGGUACUUAGUGAGCAACUGUCGACUAAGCUCCAAAGAUAAAGCAAUUAUAUAUAACAUAUAAACAGUAAGGUAAACUACACCCAAAUAUCCAACAAUCUUCAUAAUAAAGCUAAUGAGAUAAAAUAGAUAAGUUAUCCAAUUCAUGUCUAAGAAACUAACAUAAGAAGGCUAAGAAGGUAUUAAAGAUGAACUAUCCUAUUCUAGCCAUACUCAAGAAACUCAACAUUAUACCGUAUAUCACUGACCAAUAUAAGAAUAAAGGGAGAAAGAAGGAUGUAUAAUGGUAUACAAGGACAAGGAAUGAAUAUAUUGAUGGAUUUGAUUAACCGUGUGUUCAGACUUUAUUUGGAUUCCUUUAUUAUUGUGUUCAUCAAUAACAUCCUUGUGUAUUCGAGGAGUAAAGAAGGGCAUAUACACUAUUUGUGAAUUAUGCUCCAGACUUUAUGGGAUCCUGUUCUUUUUGCCAAGUUUGCUAAUUCUGAGUUUUGGCUAGAGUCAGUGACAUUCCUUGGGCAUGUGGUAUCUAAUAAUAAGAUUAUGGUAGACCCAAUGAAUAUUGGGGCUAUUCGUGGGCUAAACCUACAUCUCUGAUGGAGGUUUGUAGCUUUAUUUGCUUGGCUGGUUAUUAUAGAUGAUUCAUUGACGGUUUUGCUACUAUUCAACAUCAAUGAUAAGAUUGACUCAAAAGGAGGUUUCUUUUCGAUGGUUCAAGGAGUUUAAGUCGAUCUUUGGUAAGCUCAAGGAGCUUCUUAUAUCGGAUCCUAUUUUGGCUUUUCUUAUUAAGGGUGAGGGAUUCAUCAUAUAUUGUGAUGAUUUUAGUGUUGGUUUAGGUUAUGUAUUUAUGCAUUCGGGCCACGUUAUUUCUUAUUCUUUGAUGUAGCUUAAGGUGCAUGAGCGUAACUAUCCUACUUAUAUUUUGGAGUUGGUGGUAGUAGUUUUCACGCUUAAGAUUUGGAGGCAUUAUAUUUAUGGUGUGUAUUGUGAGAUCUUUAAUAAUCAUCGUAGUCUUCAGCAUCUUAUGACCCACAGAGAGCUUAAUUCUAGGCAACGUUGAUGGAUGGAAUUGCUUAAGGACUAUAACAUUUCCAUCUUGUAUCAUCCAGGCAAGACAAAUAUAGUAGCAGAUGCCUUAAGUCAAAAAGCAUUAAGUAUAGGUAGCUUGGAUUGUAUUUUAGUUUCUCAGAGGUCAUUUGAAGGUGAUAUUCAGUACUUAGCCAACUUGAUGGUUAAACUUGAUAUUUCAUACCCUAGGAGGAUUCUGGCUAGUGUUGAGGCUAGGUCUUCACUAUUUGGGCAUAUUGGGGAUCGUCAGUUUGAGGAUAAUAUACUUUGCAUCCUUUGUGAUCAAGUGUUGAGUGGUGAUUUUGAGAGGGCCAUCCUAGAUCCUGAGGAUGUUUUGAGAUUUGAUAGCCAUAUUUGUGUUUCAAAAAUUUAUGAUUUGAUUCAGUUAAUUUUGCACGAGGCUCAUAGUUCGAGUUUGAGUAUAACUAAUAUGUAUAGAGAUUUGAGAUAGCAUUAUUGAUGGAGAGGCAUGAAGAAGGAUAUGAAGUAAUUUGUAGCUCGUUGCCUAUGUUGCCAGUAGGUAAAGGCCAAACAUCAACAACCUGGUGGAUUGAUUUUGAGAUUACCCAUUCUCGAGUAGAAAUGAGAGCGAAUUAACAUGGACCUCGUUAGUAGUUACCCGUACAUCCCCUGGUUCUGAUGUUAUUUGGGUCAUUAUGGAUCGGUUGACCAAGUCAGCAUAUUUCAUUCCUAUUCAGAUGUCCUUCAGUGCCAAUAGGUUAGCCUGUAUCUAUGUGCGGGAUAUCAUUCAUUUGCAUGGUGUGUCUAUAUCUAUCAUUUUAGAUUGGGUUUCAUGUCUACUUCUAGCUUUUGGAGAGCUUUUCAGGAGGAGUUGGGUACUCAGGUGGAUCUUAGUAUGGUCUUUCAUCCACAGACAGAUGGCCAGUUCGAGCAAAAUAUUUAGGUUCUUGAGAAUAUGCUCCGAGCCUAUGUUAUGGAUUUUGGAGGUUAGUGGAAAGAGAACUUAGCCUUAGCAGAGUUCCCCUAUAAUAACAGUUAUUAUUCGAGCAUUGAGAUGCCACUUUUUGAGGCCUUGUUUGGUAGGAGAUUUUAUUCUCCAAUUGGAUGGUUUGAAACUUUCGAGAUUUGACCCCGUGGUACUGAUUUGCUUCAGAAGUCAUUAGAUAGAGUCAGGGUGAUUGAGGAUAGGUUCAGAGCAUCUUAGAGUGGACAGAAGGCCUAUGCAAACCGUAGGCUUCAUUACUUGAGAUUUAGAGUUGGUGAUCAAGCAUUCCACUAUGUAUCUCCCAUGAACGAUGUGAUAAGGUUCUCGAGGAAGGGCAAGCUCAACCUCAGAUAUAUUAGGCUUUUUUAGAUUCUCCAUACAAUUUAUGAGGUGGCUUAUAAGUUAGCCUUACCUUCAAAUUUUGUGAUUAUCUGUCUAAUUUCUAUGUUUUAUUGUUGUGGAGAUACAGCCCUGAUCCAUCUUAUGUUCUUAGAUGGGACUUGGUCCAAUUGGAUGACCAGUUACCCUUCUUCGAGGAGCGUGUUCUUAUUUUUUCUAGUGAUGCCAGGCGAUUUCGCACUAAGUAGAUUCAUGUACUUAAGUAUUAGUGAAGGCACUAUCCAGUAAAUUAGGCUACUUGUGAGAUCAAGAGACAGAUGCAGACCUAGUAUCCUUACCUAUUCGAGACUUCACGUAAAUCCUAGUCCUUUUUUUGUGGAUGAAAUUUCCUUUAGUAGUAGAUAUUGUAAUGACCCUUCAGUUCAUUCCCAUAUUUCAACUUGUUUUCACCAUUAUAGCUUCCCUAAGUUAUUUAUGACUUGUUGGGACUAAUGUUUUGGUCACUAGAUAGUUCUUUUAGUUUUAAGAGCCAAUUCCCUGUUUUGAAGUCUUUUCUUGUUCAAAAUGGCUACCGGGCAAAAACAUCGAUCAAUCAAUCUCAUAUCCUAAUUUUGACUGUUCCAACAGCUUUGGAAUGUCAAUUUUAGGUUAGGUAGACCCUUGGUUCGAGUCUCGAGGCACUCAAAAUUAUUUUGACCUAUUAUUUAAAAAAUUUUGAAAAUGGAAAUUGGUAUGGGGCCCAUUUUUUAUUUAAAUAACCUCGGAUGGAAAUUUUGACUGCACCAUUGAGUUUGGAAUGUUGAAUUUGAUAGGGUAGUAUAGUCUAUUUACAUAUACGAGAUUCCAGAUAAAUAACGAGGGCUUGGUGGAGUAUUAGUUGUGCUGGUGCAAUCACCAAUAGCGAUGCCAAGGGUCGCGAUCGUGAUACCCUUGGCAUGCACCAAGUGCAGAGAAUGUGGUUCCAUGUCAUGAUAGAAACUCCCUAGGCUGACCGACAGAUGUCGCGAUCGCAAAGGUCGGGUCACAAUUGCGAUACCCGAACACUUGGGAAGUGUAUAAAUAGUUUUCUUUUAGCCUCUUUUUGCUCAUUCUUCAUGUAUUUCUUAGUGUGUUAAACCCUAAAUGUUAAGAAAGCUUAGUAUUAGAGCUUGUGGGCAGUUUGGGGAGCUUGGAUAACAAUUAUUACGUGAUUUUUCUUUAAAUUUAAGAUAAGAUUCCUUCUCAUUCAUGGUUGAUUUUCUCAUUUCUUGUUCAAAAUCUCUAAAACUUGAUGACUUGAUUUUAGCGCCAAUGUGGCUCGAAUAUAACCCAUUUUAGGUCAAUUACUUAUUGAGCAUAGUGUAAUAUUGGGUUGGCUUUGAAAAUGCAAUUUCUGUAAAUGGGACCUACAUGGAAUUUUUUGGGGAUUUUUGGACCCGAAGCACAAUGGUGCUAUAUGGGUAUCAUCAUUCUUGUAUUGAUGAUUAUAAUAUGAUUUUGAUAGCAUGGAAUCUUUUAGAAUCUUCUCAGAAGGGAAAGUCAGUGAUUUAGCAGAUUUUCGAGCUUUAUUCGGCAUCCUGGUAGGCUAGGCUUCAAUCUCCUUAGAGAUUGAGCUAGUUCAUAAUAUGUUUAUGAUAUCAUAUUUAGAUUUGGGAUGGGUUUUUUAAGUUGGUGAUGUAAUUGGAAACACUUGGGUUAGUUGGACCAUUUAGGCUAUUCGAAAACCAUAAUUUGGGCAUAAAUGACUUAGUUGCUCUUGUUUUAGGUAACAUUUCUAUCUUAGAGUUGAUGAGGCUUAGUUAAUAACUGAAAGUGAGUUUAGAUACCUUAGCCUAGUUUGGGGUAUAAAUUACCUUAAAUUGUAAUUCAGGGAUUUAGAGAUAGGCCUUUAACUUACCUUAGGCCAAAAUUUGUGUCAGCUAUUGGAAAUCAUUUAUACGUUUGUUGUACGCCUUGAAAAUUCUUAUUGAGGUAGUAUUGAUAAACUUUGGAAUUUGAUGGUCUUGAUGGAUUGGCAUGGAGAUUUUAUGCUUAUUGACUAGGUUAGUGACUAUGUUAUUAAUUAUGCUAUUGGUUAUGAUAAUGAUGGUAUACUUACCGAUUCGAGUUCGGAUAUUAAUGAUGAUCUUAAUGACGUAUAUAGUUGGUUCAAGUCUAAAAUAUGCUUAUGGCAUUACUUGUAUACAUAUACAUACCCAGUUCAAGUUCGAAAGUUUAUUGUGAUACUGAUUAUAUAAUUACCGAUUUGAGUCCAGAAAAUUGUUAUAAUGUUGAUCAUGAUGUUGGUAAUAUGUUAUCGUCGAUGUUGAUACAUAUGAUAUUGGUUAUGUAAGGUUGGUUUAUGUCUAACAAGGGAGUAUGAUAUAUGGAUAAUAGGUAUAUUGAUGCUAGUUUGGAAAUGGGAAAUUAUUAUAGUAUAGCAUGAGAUUGAUGGAUUCUAGCUAUACAUGGAAGUUCAGAAAUGAUGAUGGUUUGGUUUACACCUUACUUGGUAGUACCCUCCAAGCUUAUUGGGGCCUGCAUCAAAUUAUUUACUUUUUUGUACCUACUGGCAUAUGAGGGCCAAUUUUGUAGUUAUAAUUACAUGCAAUUGAUCCUUUAUGUUAUACUAUUAUACCAGCUAUUUACUUACUUAUGUACUGUGAUAUUGGAGUUGAUUCAGGUUUGCCUCUACCUUGACUUA
rnacentral:lncRNA from 1 species